GCCAACCAGGGGACAGGUGGCCCCAGCAGCGAGUGACAGCCAGUGCCCAUGGCCAGGGACAGCGGGAUGGCCGGGAAGGUGGCGCUGCUCCUGUGGGCCCAGACCCUCGGCCUCGCUGGUGCCCAGACCCCCCAGCUCCUGGUGGAGCCCCCCUGGACGCCAGCGGUGCUGUGGGACUGGGUGACACUGACCUGCCAGGG